rnacentral:rRNA from 1 species
AUUGAACGCUGGCGGCAGGCCGAAGCCCUACAAGUCGAACGAGUGGCUUCCGGUUUAGUAAUGUCUAGGAAACUGCCUUGGGGAGGGGGAAGACUACUGGACACGGUAGCUACUAGCGCAUACAGGCCGAUGUGUCCGGAUUGGAUUGGCUAGUAGUUGGGGUAAAGGCUAACCUACGCGACGAUCCCUAGCUGGUCUGACAGGAUGAGCCGCCACACUCGAACUGCGCAACGUUCCAGACUCCGACGUGAGGCAGCAGUGGGGAAUAUUGCACAAUGGGCGCAAGCCUGAUGCAGCCAUGCCGCGUGUCUGAAGCAGGCCUUCGGGUUGUAAAGUACUUUCAGCGGGGAGGCGUUACCCGCAGAGGAAGCACUGGCUAACUCCGUGCCAGCAGCCGCGGUAAUAC